UACGUAGGGGGCUAGCGUUGUCCGGAAUCAUUGGGCGUAAAGAGCGUGUAGGCGGUCCGGUAAGUCCGCUGUGAAAAGUCGGGGGCUCAACCCUCGAAUGCCGGUGGAUACUGGCGACCUUGAGUCCGGGAGAGGUGAGUGGAACUGCGAGUGUAGAGUGAAAUUCGUAGAUAUUCGCAAGAACACCAGUGGCGAAGGCGCUCACUGGCCCGGUACUGACGCUGAGGUGCGAAAGCGUGGGGGAGGAAAACAGGAU
rnacentral:rRNA from 1 species